AGCCUGAAAGGCGUAGUCGAUGGGAAACAGGUUAAUAUUCCUGUACUUGGUGUUACUGCGAAGGGGGGACGGAGAAGGCUAUGUUAGCCGGGCGACGGUUGUCCCGGUUUAAGCAUGUAGGCUGAUUGUCCAGGCAAAUCCGGAUAAUCAAGGCUGAGGUGUGAUGACGAGGCACUACGGUGCUGAAGUAACAAAUGCCCUGCUUCCAGGAAAAGCCUCUAAGCAUCAGGUAACAUUAAAUCGUACCCCAAA
rnacentral:rRNA from 1 species